GACGAACGCUGGCGGCGUGCUUAACACAUGCAAGUCGAACGGAAAGGCCCUGCUUUUGUGGGGUGCUCGAGUGGCGAACGGGUGAGUAACACGUGAGUAACCUGCCCUUGACUUUGGGAUAACUUCAGGAAACUGGGGCUAAUACCGGAUAGGAGCUCCUGCUGCAUGGUGGGGGUUGGAAAGUUUCGGCGGUUGGGGAUGGACUCGCGGCUUAUCAGCUUGUUGGUGGGGUAGUGGCUUACCAAGGCUUUGACGGGUAGCCGGCCUGAGAGGGUGACCGGCCACAUUGGGACUGAGAUACGGCCCAGACUCCUACGGGAGGCAGCAGUGGGGAAUCUUGCACAAUGGGCGGAAGCCUGAUGCAGCAGCGCCGCGUGUGGGAUGACGGCCUUCGGGUUGUAAACCGCUUUCGCCUGUGACGAAGCGUGAGUGACGGUAAUGGGUAAAGAAGCACCGGCUAACUACGUG
rnacentral:rRNA from 1 species